AAAAAUUUAUUUAGGAACAAAUCACGGGUAUUAUUGGUCAUGCAAUGCAAGUGUACGCGAUGAUGGAAGGUUAGUUAUUGCGUUGUGUCCAAAAUUCCUCCCCAUCAUUUUCUCUCCCAGCCUCGCCGCAGCGUCGGAAACCACCCAUGUCCGCGCCGCUCGCCGCCGCAGCGCCAGCGCCCCGUCGACGACGUUUCCCUCACGCAUUCAAUCGCGCCCACACGCGGAACCCUUGCCGGCCGCCGGCGAUGCGGCCCGUCCUGGCUCCGGCGACCAUCCUCCCGGCAGCGGCUGGAGCUGGGGCGCCGCCGUCCCCGGCUUGACGCGGCACCCGUGGGCGACCAACCAGCAGCAGCAGCAACAGCCGGCGCUGCAGAUGGAGGGAGGUGAGCGUCCAGACCUCGAUUAAUUUCGUCAUGCGCAUGCUCCUGCCCCGUACGUGCAGGUAAGCGGAAGCAGAUCAGGGACGGCCUACCCCCAGAUCCUCCUGCUGCAAGGCCAAGGAGAGGCCGGCGUCCGGAGAUGGCCGACGACCGCGCAAAAGGGCUCGUCCACUCCGACCUCGUCCGGUCAGACGACGCCCACCAAAUUAAAGAUGGGGUGGAUAUCCAAAUGACCGAGCCGAGCCGUCGCGGCUCAGCACCCGUGUGUUGUUAUGCCGGUGGCAUCGACGACGGCGUCGGCUCUGCCGCAGCCCCAAGAGUUAUUAGGAUGCUGUCAGUUGGCGGCGCUGGCUCACUUAAUUUGUAGCCCUGUUCCGAAUAUUUGGCUUCAUAUGGUUUAUUUGCUGGUGUCACUAGUAAAAUGUCCAACUUGUUGAUCUCCGUAUGCCAGCAAUGGGGUCACUUAUAGGGACCUUUUGCUGAUCACAGGAAUACGUGUUUUGUAGCUCAACAUUUUAGAAGCAAAGACGAUUCUAAGGGUUCAGCUUGUUGAUGUUUCUCUUUUUGCGUAAAUGUAACCCUUAAUUGACCAACCAGUCUUAUUUCACAAACCUGAACCUAGUCCUUUAAAAAAAAAAAAAUUCGUGCCUUGGUCAUUUUCUAGUAAUUGCAGUCGGUGAAAAUACUUACAUUUACCAUGCUGGAUUAACUACUUAAUUCUUGAUCAUAUUUUAGUAAUUGCACGACUCUGCACAUGUAUCAAUGAUCGUUCUGAGCAUCACACUGCAAUAAUUUGGCUGGAGCUUUGCUUGUUUCAACGUGCCCUGUGCCCAAAUUUUAGAAUUCUCAUGAUGGAACUCGAGAAUAAAUUUUAGUGUUACUGUACUAAUGCUGUGAUCUGUAGUUUCGCUACUGUUUUCUCAUAGAGCGUAAAACAAAAGUUUGGUAUGUUCCCAGUUGUAGAACUAUAAGAAAAAAAGAGAAGCCCAUGUUUUGCUUUGACGUCCAGUUUAAAAAAACUUAGUCUGACUAGUUUAUGAUAAAAUUAUGCUAUGUAAAAAGAAAGAAUAACAUGAUCAUGUAAUUAGAUGUCAAAAGAGUGAAUGAUGUGUCCCGAACAAGGCUUCCUUCCUAAUAAAUUAUAAGGAGAAACAUCACAGGUUACUGGUUCAAUCUGCUUUUUGUGCACUAUUCUUUUUCUACCUGUCAUACGAUUGAUGAAUUAUGUGAAAUUUCAUGUUCAACUCGAGCUUUAUUCUAUAGUUCAUAUUCUUUUUACCUAGGAAUUUGGCUAGCUUAAUGUUCGAAUGUCGUGUGUAUAUAUUCUCAAUUAAGUGAAAAUGAGCUCCGUAUUCCUACUCAAAUAGAGGAGCUAAUGCAUUAUUUUCUAUUACUAGAAUGUAAUUUUUUCGUCCUAAUUCCAGUGUCAUCACAGAACAAAUCAGGAUGCAUGAUAGAGGUUGGUGUCAUCACGGGAUCAGUGGCCAUCAUGCAAGUAGUGCUUGCUCAUUAGCUUGCAAAAUUACAGAGAAGAAAGCUCGAUACGUGAGACAAGAUAUAUGCAAUCUUGAUUACUUAACUCCUGUUUCAUUGUAGGACUUCAUGUUUUGUAAGCCUCAUGAUCAAGAUUCCUUAGCUCCAGCAGGAUAUAAAUGAGGCAGUGUUAGAAAUGCAAGAAUAAGGGUGAUAACCAAUGGUUUGUACCUGCAUUCUGAGCAGGAGCAUCACCUUCUGCAGGUGGGGUGCAAUCAAGUGGUGGAGUGGAAUUGAGAUCCAACAAAGUGCUGUUUGGCCAGAGCCGGAAACGAACAUGGUGGAGGCUUCAGAGCAACAACUCAUCUUGUUGGGGGUAGGAUCCUGGAGCAGCACCUCAACUAGACCGAGUUGUGCGUGCUUGCCGGAGCCUAUGUCUGCUUGACUGGCUGCAAGAGCCGGGCCAGAGUCAAAGAUUGACCUGGCUUCCUGCUGAUCUGGGGAUACUAGUGACCUGGGGAUCGAGGGGAGAUGGAUCUGGCCUGAGGAGGCGAUUAUGGGCGCAGCGACGGCCUGGGGUGGAGCUGGUGGCGCAGCAGCGACCUAAUGGAUCCGGCGUGGUGGGGCGCUGGUGGGCCGUCGAGGUUGGGCAGCGACGAUAUGCUCGAUGCCUUAGUUUCCAUGAUUCAAUUUUCGUUUCCCGUUUGUAACUUGAUCACUGUUUCCGGAGGGGCAGACAUGCCCAAUCGCUGUUGUUUGGAGUUUGUCGGAAAUUGGGGGGGGGGGGGGGAGUACUAUUUCGUCCAGAAAGUUUAUUAUGAUGUAUACGAGUCGUCUUACCAGCCAUGUUCAUCGACAGCCAAUGGUUAUCCUCCACAAGGCUUAUGAUAUUACUGGUUAUACCGAGAUACAUUUUGGUGCCAUGGGUUAUUUGCUAACGUUCGACAAGUGACAUUUGUCAAUUCUACCCGAUGUGGAGUUCAAGAGAGAAGGUUACACGUCAUUAAUGGAGCUCACCCAUGUACAGCAUAUCCUUGUCAUGGCAAUGACCUCCAUUCCCUGUUGACUAGUAAUUAUUGCCUGGCUCAUUCGACUUGGGGUCUACCCAACUGCACAUGGGCAAUGUUGCACCUUACUCGGCCACUUGUGCUAGUGGAAACAAAGAUUUCAGGAUGGGCAAUGUUGGUUUGUCCUUGUUCUUGAAGGAGUACCUCUCCAUGUCUUUCACAACCCUCCACUUUGCCAUCAAGACACCAAUUCGAGCACAAUUCCUUUGGAUGAAAAUUUUGUUAGCAAGGAACUGGUGAUAAGUUUGAAGCCAUGAACACAGAUAUAUGAGGAAAUGCAGGGUACAUGGAUCCUGAAUAUGUGGAAACCCAGGAGCUGAUGGAGAAGAGUGACAUAUACAGCUACGACAUAGUGCUGCAUAUGUGGACACCAUCAUCCUCUCUCGACAAAAAAAUUGCGAACCGGGGCACUACCUGAGCAUCACCACCAAGAUGUGGGCAAGCACACGCCAUGACACCCUUUACGCCAAGAUGUCAUCAUUGUCAACACAUUUACGACUGCCAGAAGAAGAUGGACAUAGGAUGCAUAUCGGCCAUUCCACGGAGUUCUUCGACCAUGUUGAGGUCCUCACGACCGUUUGGGCUCCUUACUACACAAUCCACAAGUGCCCAGAUUUCGUCAGCCAACUUUGUAUGCCAAAUAAAAAUCAAAAGCUCAAAGGUCAAAAGCAGGCAGGCAGCAGUUGAUAGAGGAUAUGUACAAUGUCACCCAUGAUCCUCACAGAGGAACCAUACAUGGUGGCAUGAUCAGGGAGCUUUUUAUAUCCUUCAAAAGAUUAGCUGGCGAAAAGCCUCGUCGCAUAUUGUUCUAUAGGGAUGGUGCGAGUGAAGCUGCGAAGGCCAGUUAUCUACUUGCGAUGAACUGUCCAGUGCUAUUUUACCAUUAGGAUCCCUUGUGACUUCCUUUCUGUAAUUGCUCCAUACAGACCUGGAGUUGUAAUAGUGCCACGUUUGUCAUUGUUGCUUAUUUGUGUUUGGACUUGUGAUCUGAGUUGGAUGGUGUGGGGGUUUGGAUAUCAGUCUGACCUGCUGUGAUAUAUAUGAACUUUUUACUGUUGAUUAUUUCA